UCAUAUUUUUUACCCAUCUGCGUAAUCCAGAAAACCCUGUGGCGGGCAUCCAUGGACACAACUUUCACUCGUCCACGCUCACUCAGUGGAUCGUACCGGCGGGCGCGCGUGACACGCAGCAACACCGGCGCCCCCAGGUGCCCACUGAACACGACUUGCCCCGGAGAAAAUCGCCAAAGGGUUCCAGAGGAUUACAACCAUCUGCGAGAAGCAAGAAGAUUAAACAGGGUCCAGCUAAAUAGUCAGUAAGCUUCCUCCAGGGUCUAUAAGCAUCUAUUGUGAUAUAGCGAAUGUUUAUAUUUAUAUAUAUAUAUCUGAAGGGAACGAGCGAGAGUUGGUCGUGGAGGGAGGGGCGUCCACAGAGAGAUAUAUAUACACGUACAAGGGCGCUUGCUAGCUUGUGUCUGUAUUAGUUGAGUAUUGCCUGUGUGUCACAAACACUGCUCCAAUCUCUUGACAGUGAAUACAGAAUGUGAUUCGGCGUGGCCAACGUCAUUAUUGUUAUUGAUGUGAGCGCUCGAUAAUCUUCACGUGUGAUCGCGCGAUCUUGCCUUCUCGUUUCGUCUAGUGUUGCGGUGAAGUGUACAGUGGUGCGACCACAGAUAAGCGAACAUUGGUUUUGUACGGAUUUUUCCACCAUUUGUCUCAUCAAUCGGGUGUUGCAUAAAGUCGUCGUUUUAUAUUUGUAAUUUAUUUUGUAUUUUGUAGUCUGUUGUUCAUUAUACGAGAAACCUUUAGUUGAACUGCUACUGAAAACUGCUUGAAGUACGAUCAUAUACCUCGUUUCUACACCCACUAGAUGGUGAUGAAACUUUGCACACUGUAAAAUACUGUUGGGACUAUUAUUUGUUUUGUCAAGUUUAAUUACUGUAUAUUCCAUUAUGAAAUAUUUAAUAAAAUGAUGAUCUUGUAAAACA